CAUUCUGGGCUGUCAAAACACAAGGCGCCGUGCUCAGUCUCAAUAACUCCAGUGAUGAUUAAUGAGCGGCUUGAUCAUUUAAUAUCUCAUGUGAUUAAAUUAUAAGGCGUGGGGGAAGGGAGCUCCGCACACUCCCGGCCGCGGUGGGGGACACGGACCAGCCAGCGGGUACCGGCAGCGCUCGAGCCUUACACUCCAGCUUCGAAGGUUGCCUGGAGAGGCUCCGCCACCGUGGGUCCGCGCCUUCCCAACCUGGUGACCGUCGGGUAGGACCACCCGAAGCCACUCUUCCAGAGGCCGCAGUUCCUGGCCCAAUCUUGGGCUGACCUGUGUUCACGCCAGCCCAGGGUUCAACCUGGAAGAUCACUUCAGUUUGAUGAUGUCGGAGAUCUGCAGAAUAGCAUCCAAAUCGGUGAUGCAAUCGGCCGCAUUGUGCGCUAGACUUGUGGAAGAAAGCACAGCAGAAUGAGUUUUCUGGACGAUCGAAGCUCUGUAGACAAUUGGAAUGACCAGAAGACUGACAAGACUUCCUCAGUUGAUCCUACUGACCAGGGUGGGGAGUGUUUAUGUAACUUCUUCAACAUGUUCUUUCUGCAAAUCUUACCCCCCACCCCACCUCCUAAGUAACUGGCUUGAAUGAUCAUUUCAUAUCAAAAGAUUACUGUAUCAUCUAAAGACUUCUUGCCUCAGCUGUCCCCCUGGCUAUGGGUAUCAGGCGAGUCCAGGAGGUUUCUUCACGCUCAUUGCCAUGGUUAGCACCAUUUCGUGUACUGAUAACUGGCGUGCAGAAACUGUGUUCUUUGGGGGUUCUUGGAGGUUUGUAGUGGCUAUUCUCUGCUCCAAGGAGGUAGAAUAGAACACAUGGAUCACACCUAGGUUUAAAUUGCUCUGUCAGUAGCUGCAUGAUUGUGGGCACAUUGGAAUACCUCUUUUAGAUAUAUGAAGACAUUUCCUCAUCUGUAAAGUGAGGGUAGCCACACUCAACUCACAGGAUUGUUGGGAGUAGUAUAUAAGUAAGUACAC
rnacentral:lncRNA from 1 species